GGUGAACGCUGGCGGCGUGCCUAAUACAUGCAAGUCGAGCGAACAGACGAGGAGCUUGCUCCUCUGACGUUAGCGGCGGACGGGUGAGUAACACGUGGAUAACCUACCUAUAAGACUGGGAUAACUUCGGGAAACCGGAGCUAAUACCGGAUAAUAUAUUGAACCGCAUGGUUCAAUAGUGAAAGACGGUUUUGCUGUCACUUAUAGAUGGAUCCGCGCCGCAUUAGCUAGUUGGUAAGGUAACGGCUUACCAAGGCAACGAUGCGUAGCCGACCUGAGAGGGUGAUCGGCCACACUGGCACUGAGACACGGUCCAGACUCCUACGGGAGGCAGCAGUAGGGAAUCUUCCGCAAUGGGCGAAAGCCUGACGGAGCAACGCCGCGUGAGUGAUGAAGGUCUUCGGAUCGUAAAACUCUGUUAUUAGGGAAGAACAAAUGUGUAAGUAACUAUGCACGUCUUGACGGUACCUAAUCAGAAAGCCACGGCUAACUACGUG
rnacentral:rRNA from 1 species